GGGUGAUAGACGCUGCUACGGAGUCCUGCGUUUCCAGGUGUGGCACUGCCAGGGAGCAGGUAAAAGGUGCUUGCCGUCAAGGCUGAUGACCUGAGUUCAGUUGCUGGGACCCACGAUGCGGAAGGAAAGAGCUAACUCAAGUUGUCCUCUGAUCGCCACACACAUUGCGGAUGGACUACUAUUCGCAGUUUGUGGACUUCCUGAAGAAGGAUGGCAUCACCUGGAUGGGCCUCUCUAGAGGCCUGGCAGAGCUGGGGUAGAGGUAAAAAGCGAGGAACUUGGCCUUGCUGAGUAUGAUACAAAACCCAGGUGCUGUGAGAGGCCUUGUUUCCUAAUCUCCUUUUAGCCCAGAAGGAUGCUUUCCAAUGUCCUAUGCAGCUGAAGAACGCUCUUUGAUGCGAUCUCACAGUUGGAGCAAAAUGAAGAUUAUUACAUAGCAGGGAACAAACUCCAAAGAACAUCAGGCAUCGUGGCAGUUUACAGAGCCGGGCUAAUCCUUGGAGUGCCUUGCCAGAUGUUCCAGGAAUUCUCUGAAAGUUCUUUGGUGCAUGUAGGAUGCAGGGAUUGUGGCACUUUCUGUGGCACUCACCUAGGUUGAUUUAAUCUUAUCUAUGCUUCUGAAGGCUAUGCUCUCUCCUUUCGUACUUUUUUUUUUUUUUUUUGCUCCAGCUGGCCUAGAACUUGCUUUGUAAACCAGGCUCAACUCACUGAGGCUCACCUGAGAUUAAAGGUGUAUAUCACCACACCCUCUGUCCUCUUUUCUUUUCCCAAAUUUUCCACACAGUGAUUUUAUCCCAUCUUUGGUUGGACCUCACUGAAUAUCUUCACACCUUGCAUUAUCUAGUUCCCACUGUUAGACAUUCAGGGAUUUCCUGUGUACCAUUUACUUAUGUACCGUGUUAAGUUUUCCCUUGCCCCACCCCAAAUCAAUUCUGACCCCUGACCCCACCUAGGUCAGUUUAUUGAGAGAAUGUGUGCUACAUGUUGGGACUUGUAUAAAGAGCUACUGUAUAUUUUAAAAGGCUCAGCUCCCUUUUCUGCCUCAAUAAUCGUCAUGUUGUGACAUUACUAAGCCACAUUACAGUUAUACCUGAAUAAACAGCCUGACUCUUAACUUUAGGCGGACCUGAACUCAGAGGACACCCAUUCCUCUAGAUGUCCCCUGGAACUGUGCUCUGAGGCCCAGCUUCACUCAGACUUUUAUUCAAAACCCUUUCUCCAGCAUCAACUUGGACCCACCCUCACCCUAGACAAUCUUGCCUUCUGAUUCCUAGGCCUAAAGUAUCUCAUGCACACAAUGGCAAGCAUUCUUAUUUCUCACUGCUUUCAAUGAGGAUAUGAAUGUGAAUACACUGCAUUCAGCACCUUGGUACACUAAUUCAGGCAUACCACAUUGGUGCACCUUCUGGGGUGGAGGGCAAAGUGAGAUCCCAAGGGGUCAAGGUUAUAAGCCCAGGUCACAAGAGUACAUGGCUCAAUGAGCUUGUCUACAUUAUAAAC